rnacentral:rRNA from 1 species
GGAUGACCAGCGGAGGGAUCAUUACCGAGUUUACAACUCCCAAACCCAAUGUGAACCAUACCAAACUGUUGCCUCGGCGGGGUCACGCCCCGGGUGCGUCGCAGCCCCGGAACCAGGCGCCCGCCGGAGGGACCAACCAAACUCUUUACUGUAGUCCCCUCGCGGACGUUAUUUCUUACAGCUCUGAGCAAAAAAUUCAAAAUGAAUCAAAACUUUCAACAACGGAUCUCUUGGUUCUGGCAUCGAUGAAGAACGCAGCGAAAUGCGAUAAGUAAUGUGAAUUGCAGAAUUCAGUGAAUCAUCGAAUCUUUGAACGCACAUUGCGCCCGCCAGUAUUCUGGCGGGCAUGCCUGUCCGAGCGUCAUUUCAACCCUCGAACCCCUCCGGGGGGUCGGCGUUGGGGAUCGGGAACCCCUCAGACGGGAUCCCGGCCCCGAAAUACAGUGGCGGUCUCGCCGCAGCCUCUCCUGCGCAGUAGUUUGCACAACUCGCACCGGGAGCGCGGCGCGUCCACGUCCGUAAAACACCCAACUUUCUGAAAUGUUGACCUCGGAUCAGGUAGGAAUACCCGCUGAACUUAAGCAUAUCAA